CCUACGGGUGGCAGCAGUGAGGAAUAUUGGUCAAUGGUCGGGAGACUGAACCAGCCAAGCCGCGUGAGGGAUGAAGGUACAGAGUAUCGUAAACCUCUUCUGUCAGGGAACAAAGGCGGGGACGUGUCCCCGGAUGAGUGUACCUGAAGAAAAAGCAUCGGCUAACUCCGUGCCAGCAGCCGCGGUAAUACGGAGGAUGCGAGCGAUAUCCGGAUUUAUUGGGUUAAAGGGGUGAGCAGGCGGUCUGUUAAGUCAGCGGACAAAGCCCGGGGCUCAACCCGGGCCCGCCGUUGAAACUGGCAGUCUCAAGUUGGAGGGAAGUAUGAGGAAUGCGCGGUGUAGCGGUGAAAUGCAUGGAUAUCG
rnacentral:rRNA from 1 species